GAUGAACGCUGGCGGCGUGCUUAACACAUGCAAGUCGAACGGAAAGGCCCAAGCUUGCUUGGGUACUCGAGUGGCGAACGGGUGAGUAACACGUGGGUGAUCUGCCCUGCACUUCGGGAUAAGCCUGGGAAACUGGGUCUAAUACCGGAUAGGACGAUGGUUUGGAUGCCAUUGUGGAAAGUUUUUUCGGUGUGGGAUGAGCUCGCGGCCUAUCAGCUUGUUGGUGGGGUAAUGGCCUACCAAGGCGUCGACGGGUAGCCGGCCUGAGAGGGUGUACGGCCACAUUGGGACUGAGAUACGGCCCAGAGUCCUACGGGAGGCAGCAGUGGGGAAUAUUGCACAAUGGGGGCAAGCCUGACGCAGCGACGCCGCGUGGGGGAUGACGGCCUUCGGGUUGUAAACUCCUUUCGCUAGGGACGAAGCGUUUUUGUGACGGUACCUGGAGAAGAAGCACCGGCUAACUACGUG
rnacentral:rRNA from 1 species